GUUUUGCUCUCCUGAAUAGGAACCUAUCAUGUUUAAUUCAGGUCAUUUGCCAGCAUCUGCCCUACGCAUUCCAACUACGGAAUCUAUGCUGUUUAUUGUAUCUUCUCAAAUGUGUUAAUUCGGGAGAGACAGAUGAUGUAAAAUACUCGAGGAACAUUCUCAAACUCAAUUCAUUCAAUCUUCAAAGAUUAGAUUAUGUAACGUGAUAUUACUCUAUAUAAACCUUAAACUACCCCUGGCUUGUGACCAUUUUGACUCCAAAAAUUAGUGUUGCCGUCUUAGGAAACUUCAGAUGAAAAAACAGAAUAUCUAGGUACUGUUUUCCUCACAAGUAUGCUCAAGCAGUGUUGAUUUAACAUUAGCAAAGCAUUCUAAAUGGUCUACUAGACGGUUCAUGGUUGAAGAAGACAACUCACAGUACAAUUACCAUUUACUUCCAAUUUCAAAUUCAAGAAUUCCAACCCAUUUUCGUUGCUAAGAAAAUGAAGGAAAAUGGAUGACCUUCUUGAAACUAUGAUAUCUAGGCUUCUCAUCGUGUGAGGCCCAAGAAAACAAAAACCUACCAUCCAAUCCAAGUGAGCCUAAAAGAAACCAUUUGGUGGGUUCAUAUUAUUCAAUUAUUGAACCCAAAUCAAAGUGUUAUGAAAGAUUGAAGAUUCAAAUUUUAAUUGCACGUCCUUUCGCUCCCCCCUCCUUUUCCCAGCAACCAACCAGAAAGUCAAAGAGAACAGAAAUAAAAAAUUUAAGAAGGAACAUAAUUCGAUUCUGGUAACGAAGAUGACCAUAAGAAAGAACAAAAAAAUCGUGGGUGUGUUUUACCUUGUUGAAUAUAGUCUGCAGAUCCCAAGACCAAAGGCGAGACACCGAGUAGCAGUGGCUUCUAAACCCCUGAAUCAAGGUUUAUCCAAUGGGGGUCCGUGAACUUUGUUUAAACUCACCUGCCAGUGAUCUCCACUUCUUACCCGCUUAUAACUUUAGACCGGGAACCGGUCCUCUCGGUUACCGUUGUUAUUUCAUCGUUUUAUUGAAUUGGGAAUUAUGGAAGACACGGGCGGUUUUGAUCGUUAUCGGUUCGAGUUGUGGUACGCACUACGCAUGCACAUUGUACUCCAAACUUCAAAUGAUAAACUGUGAGAAAGUGAGGCAAUGUAGGGGAAAAGUGAGGAAUUUUCUGUCUAAAAUUCUUAGAACUCAUAAUGUUGAUUCAGCUCCUUUCUCAAAAUUCUCAGAUAUGAAGUUUACCACCCCCUCUCUAAGAAAACUCUCUCCAUUCUCUCAACCAAAAACAAGAAAACACUCGUAGGAGUCCUCGGUCUCCUAUAGUCCUUCUUUUCCUUUGCUAUUGUAUCAAAAAUCUAGUUUCUUAUUUAUUUCAUUUUCCCUUUUUUUCUUUCUAGGUCAAAAAAGUCAAAUCUACCGCUUUCCGACUAUCAGAGUGAUGUACCUACCCCACGGGUAGAGUUAAAGGCCAUUGACCACGAUCUAAAACCUCCCUUAAUGGAGUUCAAGACGAAGCAACACAAAUAGUCUUCACCGUUCCUCCACGCCCCACAAGCUGGUAGAGUGCCAUGCAACACUGGUGAACUGCCAACAACCCUGUCGUUUCAACUCUAAACAUCUGACUAUGUUCAUACUUUUUUGAUCGAGGACAUGGCAGUAGUGGAUAUGAGAAUCUCCAACAAACACAUCAAUAUGAUUCAAUCAUAUUAUGUUCA